UACGAAGGGUGCAAGCGUUACUCGGAAUUACUGGGCGUAAAGCGUGCGUAGGCGGUUUGUUAAGUCUGUCGUGAAAGCCCCGGGCUCAACCUGGGAAUGGCGAUGGAAACUGGCGAGCUAGAGUACGGUAGAGGAGAGUGGAAUGCCCGGUGUAGCAGUGAAAUGCGUAGAGAUCGGGAGGAACAUCAGUUGCGAAGGCGGCUCUCUGGACCAGUACUGACGCUGAGGCACGAAAGCGUGGGGAGCAAACAGG
rnacentral:rRNA from 1 species